rnacentral:rRNA from 1 species
AUAAUAAUUAGUUUUUUAAUUGAAAACUGGAAUGAAUGAUUGGAUAAGAUAUAAGCUUUUUUUUUUAAAAUUUCAUAGAACUUAAAUUUUUAGUUAAAAAGCUAAAAUUAUUUAAAAAGACGAGAAGACCCUAUAGAUUUUUAUUUAAUUAAAAUUAUUAAUUUAAUUUUAAUUAAAUUUUAUUGGGGGGAUAAAAAAAUUUAAAAAACUUUUUAAGUUAUUGACAAAUAAUAUGUGAAACUUUAAAAUAUAAACUAUUUAAAUUAUUAUAAAUAAAGAUUAAAAUACCUUAGGGAUAACAGCGUAAUUUUAAUUUUAAGAUCUCAUUUAAAUUAAAGAUUGC